GACGAACGCUGGCGGCGUGCUUAACACAUGCAAGUCGAGCGGUAAGGCCCUUUCGGGGGUACGACGAGCGGCGAACGGGUGAGUAACACGUGGGUGACCUGCCCUCAGCUCUGGGAUAAGCCUGGGAAACUGGGUCUAAUACUGGAUAUGACUCCACGGUGCAUGUCGUGGGGUGGAAAGCCUUGUGCGGCUGAGGAUGGGCCCGCGGCCUAUCAGCUUGUUGGUGGGGUGAUGGCCUACCAAGGCGACGACGGGUAGCCGGCCUGAGAGGGCGACCGGCCACACUGGGACUGAGACACGGCCCAGACUCCUACGGGAGGCAGCAGUGGGGAAUCUUGCGCAAUGGGCGAAAGCCUGACGCAGCGACGCCGCGUGA
rnacentral:rRNA from 1 species